GGAUAGUAGUAUUAAUGAAAUUUAACGGAUUUGGCGGCAAGAUAGCCAUUUAGAGGAACCUGCCCUAUAAACGAUGAUCCACGAUUUAACUCUACUUUUAUUUGAAUUUCAGUUUGUAUACCGCUGUUGUCAGUCAGUUUCUCUAGAAAACUUUCAUUCAUGAUAGAUUCAUUGACUUCAAGUAAAGGUGCAGCUUAUAUAAAAGACAGAGGUGGGUUACAUUUAGUAGAUUAAUACGGAUAAAGUUUAUGAAUAUAGCUUUUGAAGGUGGAUUUAAUUGUAAAGUUUAUAUAAACUUGAUGUGAGCUCUAUCUUGUGUACAC
rnacentral:rRNA from 1 species